rnacentral:pre_miRNA from 7 species
CUCUUCCAAAGGUCCUAAGUUCAAAUCCCAGCAAGGACAUGUGUAAGACCCCCUUUCGGGGACCCCCACUCUAGUCUCCGGAGAGAGAGAGCGCACCCAAAGAAACACUAGAAUCC